GGGAUAAGAAGCGAACGCGGGGAACUGAAACAUCUAAGUACCCGUAGGAAAGGACAUCAACCGAGACUCCGCAAGUAGUGGCGAGCGAACGCGGACCAGGCCAGUGAUCUUAGUGAGACAAGCAAAACCUUCUGGAAAGUAGGGCCAUAGUGGGUGACAGCCCCGUAUGCGUAAUGCGAACUAAGAUCCUCGAGUAAGGCGGGACACGUGAAAUCCUGUCUGAACAUGGGGAGACCACUCUCCAAGCCUAAGUACUCGUGCAUGACCGAUAGCGAACUAGUACCGUGAGGGAAAGGUGAAAA
rnacentral:rRNA from 1 species